rnacentral:misc_RNA from 1 species
AAUGCUAAAGGUGGAAAUGUAAAUCUGAUCACUACAUUAAACAAGAAAACAAAAUUUUGGAACUAUCAAAGAGUUCUUAAGACAGAUAGAAAAAGCUCAUCCUAGUUAGCUACUAAGAAGGCAAGAAACUAUCAAAGUAAUACCGCUUUGAGCUUAAUUAAAGGACAUGACAGCUACUAAGUAAACUAAUCAUAAGUUCAGAACAUGAAGUUUAAUUUUCAAAUCAGACGACAGCAUAAGCAGUG